UGUUGCUGGCCAUCAAUGAACAGAUCAACAUGUAGUGACAAUAAAACGUCAACAGAAUUUGAAUACGCAACGUCAUUUGCAAAACAUGUUUACGGCCGCAACGUCAACUGCUAAUCAAAUUGCCGAGUGCCAUUGAGUACAGAUUCAUGCCAUAAAUGUUUCCCAUCAACUGAAUUGCCAAAGAAUCGACCGAAGGAAAACCUAAAAAGCCCUCAAGUUCCAACCGCAUAAUUGCCAAAACCAAUUAAUGGGUUGAACAAAUGCAAAAUCAGAAGGUGUAAAACAGAACCUUAAACAUGUCAGACAGAAUUUGUUGACCUUUCUGACAAUCAUUUUGGCGUUUGUAACAGGCAGUCAUCGCUUUUGACGGUGACACAUUCAUUCCAAAAUAACACAAAAAUAAUCUAGUGUUGCGUUUCUAAAGUCG
rnacentral:lncRNA from 1 species